rnacentral:rRNA from 1 species
ACGCUCGACACCUACGGGAGGCGGCAGUGGGGAAUAUUGCACAAUGGGGGAAACCCUGAUGCAGCGACGCCGCGUGAAGGAAGAAGUAUUUCGGUAUGUAAACUUCUAUCAGCAGGGAAGAAGAUGACGGUACCUGACUAAGAAGCCCCGGCUAACUACGUGCCAGUAGCCGCGGUAAUCUGAGCGGGCUGGCAAGGC